AAGAGCAAAGAGGCUAAAGUAAUCAUAAGAGAGAAUUAUUUUGGUAAUUGAGAGAAGGAAGGAAAGCUAAAGUCUUGCAUUUUCAAGUAUCGAAAAGCUAACGCUUCGAGAGGUCUGUUGUUAUAAAUUUAGUUUAUGUUCUUAUGAUCUUGAGUAGAAUUCAUGAAAUCAUACAUGUUUAGGUUUAUGCUUAUGUAAUACAAUGUUAUUAAGUCAUAAAAGAUGAAAACUAGCUAAUUAACUCAAGUGGUAACUAGUUAGAGAGAUUGAAAGUAUGAAAUGAGAAACCCCUAAUCUGAAAUGUUAUCGUAAAAGUUAAAUAAAAUCAUAUUUUGGAAUUUGGUUAUGAAAUACAAAUUAAAGUUUUAGAGGGAGAAGCUACAAAGACAUGGUUGAAAGAAUCACUCAAAAAUUCAUUAAUAUGAAUUAAAUAGUGAGUCAAGGUACUGCUGAAAAUAUUUUGCUAGUGAACAGUAAAAGGAGGGCUUUCCGGAACUUUUUGAGCACGUGAAUUUUGGGGUUCGUGCCACUUAUGGAGGUUGUUAGACCAUGUUAUACAUAGGUCACUGUCCAAAGAUGAGCCAAUUCCGAGUUGAUAUGAAUUAGUUAUGAAUUAAACAAGUUUUGAAAUCAAUUAUCGUAAAAGUUAAAAGUACGAAGUUAAGUUCAUGUUUAAAGGCUAGUUAAGGUGAACUAGAGUAAGAGUCAUGUGGUAACUAAUUUGUAUGUCAAACUCAUAAAUGAUAUAGGUUGAUCGAGAGACACAAAAUUAGCGUAAACGAUAAAGGCGAAAAGGCUUCUAAGUUUGUUCAUAGUUGAUAUGUGAAAGUAUAUGUAUGAAUGAUUUUAAGUAUGAUAUGAUGAUUAAAUGUUAAAGUGUUUAAUGAUAGGUUAUGCUAUAUAUGAUUAUGCAUUAAGCAUGAGUUAACAUGAUCGUUAACUGAAAGUUUUGUUAAGUCAAGCAUGUUAAAGUUUAUAUGAAAGCAUUGUGUAUGUGUUAUUUGUUAUUGAGCCGUUGUGCUCAUUCUUGCAAAUAAAACUUUAUUUGCAGUUAAAGAAGAAUGAUAAGAAGAUCAUGAACGUAAAGAAGAAGGGUAGAUUAGGUUUAUGUUUUAUUUAUUUUUAUUUGUAUUAAGUCAUAAUGACUUCUAUAAUACGAACAAGCAA
rnacentral:lncRNA from 1 species